rnacentral:rRNA from 1 species
UCCUACGGGGGGCAGCAGUGAGGAAUAUUGGUCAAUGGUCGGGAGACUGAACCAGCCAAGCCGCGUGAGGGAUGAAGGUACAGAGUAUCGUAAACCUCUUUUGUCAGGGAACAAAGGCGGGGACGUGUCCCCGGAUGAGUGUACCUGAAGAAAAAGCAUCGGCUAACUCCGUGCCAGCAGCCGCGGUAAUACGGAGGAUGCGAGCGUUAUCCGGAUUUAUUGGGUUUAAAGGGUGCGCAGGCGGUCUGUUAAGUCAGCGGUCAAAGCCCGGGGCUCCACCCCGGCCCGCCGUUGAAACUGGCAGG